AACUGUGACUGCUUUGAACAACACCGCAGGAUGGAUACGGACGAUCCGCUUGGACUACUUUGAGGAGCACCAUGGGCAAAAGACCGUGAAGAAACUAGUCGUCCGCUGUCUCCAUGAGCUGUACGAUGUUGCAGAACGCCUUGCCCGUUAUAACCACAUUCGUCAGAGAGCCCUGCCAUCCUACGCUGCCACAGCCCCACCACAGUCACCACCCGGCACCGCUGUGCCACUGUUGUGAACAUAUCACUCUGACCAGAUUCGCUGGCUAUUUGUCGGCGCGAAUCGACCAGGCUAACACACCUGUUGUGGACCUUCAGGGAUACGCACCAAUGCCGGCCGUGACGCAGUUAUCUGCUUUGAAUGAGUGGGUGGGAGCCAUUCAUAAAGGCAAUCAUCAUCAUCACCAGGAUAUACCCUGUUCGAGGAAGAGAACGACGCCAACCGAUCAUGGAGACUACCGGUGUUUUCUCUCUCGUGGCGGUUAUCCAACAAGA
rnacentral:lncRNA from 1 species